UGGCGGUGUGCUUCACACAUGUAAGUCGAACGAGGUAGCAAUACCUAGUGGCGGACGGGUGAGUAACGCGUGGGAAUCUGCCUUUAGAUGGGGGAUAACGGGUCGAAAGACUCGCUAAUACCGCAUAUGACGAAAGUUGAAAGGAGUAAUCCGUCUAAAGAUGAGCCCGCGUCCGAUUAGCUAGUUGGUAGAGUAAAAGCCUACCAAGGCGACGAUCGGUAGCUGGUCUGAGAGGAUGAUCAGCCACAAUGGGACUGAGACACGGCCCAUACUCCUACGGGAGGCAGCAGUGGGGAAUUUUACGCAAUGGGCGAAAGCCUGACGUAGCGACACCGCGUGAGCGAAGAAGCCCCUUGGGGUGUAAAGCUCUGUCAGCUGGAACGAAAAAAUGACGGUACCAGCAGAGGAAGCAUCGGCUAACUACGUG
rnacentral:rRNA from 1 species